UGUGGAUUCGCAGCUGCUGCUUUUCUUCGAGGUGUUAAUUUCAUUCAGAUUCCUACAACUGUUAUGGCACAGGUGGACUCUUCCGUUGGAGGAAAAACUGGGAUAAAUCACACACUUGGGAAGAACCUGAUUGGAGCAUUUUAUCAACCUCAGUGUGUACUCAUAGACACAGACACGCUAAACACUCUGCCGGAUAGGGAAUUGGCAUCAGGCCUUGCAGAGGUCAUAAAG
rnacentral:misc_RNA from 1 species